rnacentral:rRNA from 1 species
GAUGAACGCUGGCGGCGUGCCUAAUACAUGCAAGUCGAGCGAACGGACGAGAAGCUUGCUUCUCUGAUGUUAGCGGCGGACGGGUGAGUAACACGUGGAUAACCUACCUAUAAGACUGGGAUAACUUCGGGAAACCGUAGCUAAUACCGGAUAAUAUUUUGAACCGCAUGGUUCAAAAGUGAAAGACGGUCUUGCUGUCACUUAUAGAUGGAUCCGCGCUGCAUUAGCUAGUUGGUAAGGUAACGGCUUACCAAGGCAACGAUGCAUAGCCGACCUGAGAGGGUGAUCGGCCACACUGGAACUGAGACACGGUCCAGACUCCUACGGGAGGCAGCAGUAGGGAAUCUUCCGCAAUGGGCGAUAGCCUGACGGAGCAACGCCGCGUGAGUGAUGAAGGUCUUCGGAUCGUAAAACUCUGUUAUUAGGGAAGAACAUAUGUGUAAGUAACUGUGCACAUCUUGACGGUACCUAAUCAGAAAGCCACGGCUAACUACGUG